rnacentral:tmRNA from 1 species
GGGGCUGUCACUGGUUUCGACAGGUAUGCUAAUGCUUAAAUGGCAAGUGGUCUGCAACGCCUCAAGUGCAAACAAAAAAUAACUGGAAACAGAAAUACAUUAGCUUUCGCUUAAUAUAAAAUAGCAAGCUGCUCUCUUUUUUCCUCUCCCGCGGGGAAUCUGUAGGGCUCGAUUAGUGGGAUAUAAUAAAGUGAUGUCUAUAAGCUUUAUCGAAUUAUAUAGGCUUGCUAGUGGCUAGGUUGUUGGUUAACAAAACACUAGGACAAUUAAAAAACCAACUAAACUUGUAGAGGUUUAAGAUGAGGUGUAUUUGGACAGGAGUUCGAAUCUCCUCAGCUCCACCA